rnacentral:lncRNA from 1 species
CCGCUUUCCGAGUGUCCUCCAUGGGUCAGAAAACCCUAGGGAGUCAUCGAAGAUAUAAAGAAAUACUAACCACUCCAUUCGUGGAUGGACAAAGGGCUAGAAGGAAGGACAUUAUAACCGUUCCUACAAGAAAAGUACUACCACCCCUUAUUUCGAGAGUGGGCCUUCACUUGAAAGAAAGCUCAGAGCAUUCUCAGUGUAGGGGUGAUCCCUUGAAGCUGGACAAAUCAAAAGAAGCCCGCAAUCAUUCUCCAAGCAUUGGGGAUGAGCUAUGCGGGGACAAAUUGGUUUUGGGCCAAUAAGUCUGCGACAAUCAAUGGGAUCGGGAGCCUUAUCUCUGCUUUGAGGGACUCCUCAUAUAGGGCUAUCUGGUUCUUUCCGGGCGAAGUCACCCAUUCCAAAGGACCAGGGUGCUCAAGGACAAAGUCCUCGAAAAUGAACCAUCCGGAUCUGAUUGAGGUCGGACUCGCCCAGGAAGCUUAUCUCAAUAUUCGGACCAGAAGACACUUAAGAAAGAACUCCCCCUGAGGUCACAACGACCUAGUUAGG